rnacentral:rRNA from 1 species
UACAGAGGGGGGCAAGCGUUUAUUCGGAAUUAUUGGGCGUAAAGGGCGCGUAGGCGGCUUUUCAAGUGACGGGUGAAAUCCCUCGGCUUAACCGAGGAACUGCCUGUCAGACUGGAAGGCUUGAGACCGGGAGAGGUGAGUGGAAUUCCCAGUGUAGCGGUGAAAUGCGUAGAUAUUGGGAGGAACACCAGUGGCGAAGGCGGCUCACUGGACCGGAACUGACGCUGAGGCGCGAAAGCGUGGGGAGCAAACAGG